rnacentral:siRNA from 1 species
UGUGUAACAACUCACCUGCCG